CUCUUCUGAUCUGAUUUCUACAAAUAUAAAGGAAAAUAUAUUACUUUAUUUUCUGCUAAAAAUGUGUUAGUUUUGCAAAUUGAUUCACAGAAAGGAGAAAGGGAUAAACCAUGAUUUUCAUUGGAAGGAAGACUGUGAAAAUAAGUUUGCAUUUUGCCAGUAGAUCGGAAGCUAAGUGAUUUGAUUUUUAUUUUAGCAAUUAUCACUCAUUAAAAAUUGGCAAAUGGCCUUUUGUAUUUAUUUAUCAAAUAUGAAUUGAGCAGGAUAGUAACAUGAUCUGAUGAUUCUCCCUUUCUCCUCUCGUAGUUGCUUGGUCAUCAGGGUGUGGAAUCACACCUCUUCUUGCUUGAGCCUGUUGGAAGUCAUCCUCAAGGAGUAUGAUAACACAAGUUGGGGGAACAGGAAAAGAGAAUUGCAAAUGAAUGACAAAAAUAGUAAAUAAAAUAAGAGAUGUAAUAGACACUCUGCGGAGAAGAAUUUUAAUCAUUGGUAGGAUAAAAAGUGUCAUGAUUACUUGAUCAAUUUCAUCAUCUAUAAACAUGAUCACCCUGCAGAUAUAUCUAUAAUUCCAGAUUCCAAGGAAAAGGAUAGACUAUUAUUUUCAAUUAUAGUAAAUACUUAAUAAGAAGUUA